rnacentral:rRNA from 1 species
GCCUUCUNAGUUCCCUGGAACGGGNCNCCAUAGAGGGUGAGAGNCCCGUCCGGUNGUGCGCCUAGCCNCUGUAAAGCUCCNUCNNCGAGUUNAGUAGUUUGGGAAUGCUNCUCUNAAUGGGAGGUAUACGUCUUCUANAGNUAAAUACCGGCCAGAGACCGAUAGCGCACAAGUAGAGUGAUCGAAAGAUGAAAAGCCCUUUGAAAAGAGGGUUAAAUAGUACGUGAAAUUGCUGAAAGGGAAGCGCUUAUGACCAGACUUGGGCGCGGCGGAUCAUCCGGCGUUCUCGCCGGUGCACUCCACCGCCCCAGGCCAGCAUCAGUUCGCGCCGGGGGAUAAAGGCUUCGGGAAUGUGGCUCUCUCGGGAGUGUUAUAGCCCGCUGCGUAAUACCCUGGCGCGGACUGAGGUCCGCGCUCUGCAAGGAUGCUGGCGUAAUGGUCAUCAGUGACCCGUCUUGAAACACGGACCAAGGAGUCGUCUUCGUAUGCGAGUGUUCGGGUGUCAAACCCCUACGCGGAAUGAAAGUAACGUAGGAGAGAGCUUCGGCGCAU